rnacentral:tRNA from 1 species
GCGCCCUUAGCUCAGCUGGACAGAGCGUCUGACUACGGAUCAGAAGGUCGGGAGUUCGAAUCUUCCAGGGCGCACCA